rnacentral:rRNA from 1 species
CCUACGGGUGGCAGCAGUGAGGAAUAUUGGUCAAUGGACGAGAGUCUGAACCAGCCAAGUAGCGUGAAGGAUGACUGCCCUAUGGGUUGUAAACUUCUUUUAUAUGGGAAUAAAAUGUUCCACGUGUGGGAUUUUGUAUGUACCAUAUGAAUAAGGAUCGGCUAACUCCGUGCCAGCAGCCGCGGUAAUACGGAGGAUCCGAGCGUUAUCCGGAUUUAUUGGGUUUAAAGGGAGCGUAGGUGGAUUGUUAAGUCAGUUGUGAAAGUUUGCGGCUCAACCGUAAAAUUGCAGUUGAAACUGGCAGUCUUGGGUACAGUAGAGGUGGGCGGAAUUCGUGGUGUAGCGGUGAAAUGCUUAGAUAUCACGAAGAACUCCGAUUGCGAAGGCAGUUCACUGGACUGCAACUGACACUGAGGCUCGAAAGUGUGGGUAUCAAACAGGAUUAGAUACCCGAGUAGUC